rnacentral:rRNA from 1 species
UACGUAGGGGGCAAGCGUUGUCCGGAAUUAUUGGGCGUAAAGCGCGCGCAGGCGGUCCUUUAAGUCUGAUGUGAAAGCCCACGGCUCAACCGUGGAGGGUCAUUGGAAACUGGGGGACUUGAGUACAGAAGAGAAGAGUGGAAUUCCACGUGUAGCGGUGAAAUGCGUAGAGAUGUGGAGGAACACCAGUGGCGAAGGCGACUCUUUGGUCUGUAACUGACGCUGAGGCGCGAAAGCGUGGGGAGCGAACAGG